GACGAACGCUGGCGGCGUGCUUAACACAUGCAAGUCGAACGCUGAAGCCCUGCUUUUGUGGUGUGCUCAAGUGGCGCAAGGGUGUGUAUCACGUGUGUAUCCUGCCCUUGACUUUGGGAUAACUUCAGGGAACUGGGGCUAUUACCCGAUAUGAGCUCCUGCUGCAUGGUUGAGGUAGUAAAGUUUCGGCGGUUGUGCACGGACUCGAGGCUUAUCAGCUUGUUGGUGGGGUAGUGGCUUACCAAGGCUUUUACGGGUCGCCGGACUGAGAGGGUGACCGGGCACAGUGGGACAGGGAUACGAGCAAGAGGGCAUCGGGAGGAAGGAGUGGAGAAUAGAGCGAGAUGGGCGGAAGCAGGAAGCAGGAACGCCGCGUGCUAGAGGACGGCCGUCGGGUAGUAAAGAGCGUUCGCCUGGGACGAAGAGUGAGUGACGGUAAUGGGUAAAGAAGCAACGGCUAACUACGUG
rnacentral:rRNA from 1 species